rnacentral:rRNA from 1 species
GACGAACGCUGGCGGCGUGCCUAAUACAUGCAAGUCGAACGCAGUGGGGACGGGUGAGUAACACGUGGGUAACCUCCCAUCAGAGGGGAUAACACUUGGAAACUGGUGCUAAACCGAUACUGAUGGAUGGACCCGCGGUGCAUUAGCGAGUGGGUGGGGUAACGGCUCACCAAGGCCACGAUGCGUAGCCGGCCUGAGAGGAUGAUCGGCCAAACGGGGACUGAGACACGGCCCAGACUCCUACGGGAGGCAGCAGUAGGGAAUCUUCGGCAAUGGGCGAAAGUCUGACCGAGCAACGCCGCGUGAGUGAAGAAGGUUUUCGGGUCGUAAAGCACUGUUGUUAGGGAAGCGGUAUCUAAACAGAAAGCAACGGCUAACUACGUGCCAGCAGCCGCGGUAAUAC